rnacentral:rRNA from 1 species
UGAGUAACACGUGAGUAACCUGCCCUUAACUUCGGGAUAAGCCUGGGAAACUGGGUCUAAUACCGGAUACGACGGUCCACCGCAUGGUGGUCCGUGGAAAGCUUGAUGCGGUUUUGGAUGGACUCGCGGCCUAUCAGCUAGUUGGUUGGGGUAAUGGCCCACCAAGGCGACGACGGGUAGCCGGCCUGAGAGGGUGACCGGCCACACUGGGACUGAGACACGGCCCAGACUCCUACGGGAGGCAGCAGUGGGGAAUAUUGCACAAUGGGCGAAAGCCUGAUGCAGCGACGCCGCGUGAGGGACGAAGGCCUUCGGGUUGUAAACCUCUUUCAGCAGGGAAGAAGCGAAAGUGACGGUACCUGCAGAAGAAGCGCCGGCUAACUACGUGCCAGCAGCCGCGGUAAUACGUAGGGCGCAAGCGUUAUCCGGAAUUAUUGGGCGUAAAGAGCUCGUAGGCGGUUUGUCGCGUCUGCUGUGAAAGCCCGGGGCUCAACCCCGGGUCUGCAGUGGGUACGGGCAGACUAGAGUGCAGUAGGGGAGACUGGAAAUUCCUGGUGUAGCGGUGAAAUGCGCAGAUAUCAGGAGGAACACCGAUGGCGAAGGCAGGUCUCUGGGCUGUAACUGACGCUGAGGAGCGAAAGCAUGGGGAGCGAACAGGAUUAGAUACCCUGGUAGUCCAUGCCGUAAACGUUGGACACUAGGUGGUGGGGGACAUUCCACGUUUUCCGCGCCGUAGCUAACGCAUUAAGUGCCCCGCCUGGGGAGUACGGCCGCAAGGCUAAAACUCAAAGGAAUUGACGGGGGCCCGCACAAGCGGCGGAGCAUGCGGAUUAAUUCGAUGCAACGCGAAGAACCUUACCAAGGCUUGACAUGAACCGGAAAGGCCUGGAAACAGGUCCCCCACUUGUGGUCGGUUUACAGGUGGUGCAUGGUUGUCGUCAGCUCGUGUCGUGAGAUGUUGGGUUAAGUCCCGCAACGAGCGCAACCCUCGUUCUAUGUUGCCAGCGCGUUAUGGCGGGGACUCAUAGGAGACUGCCGGGGUCAACUCGGAGGAAGGUGGGGACGACGUCAAAUCAUCAUGCCCCUUAUGUCUUGGGCUUCACGCAUGCUACAAUGGCCGGUACAAAGGGUUGCGAUACUGUGAGGUGGAGCUAAUCCCAAAAAGCCGGUCUCAGUUCGGAUUGAGGUCUGCAACUCGACCUCAUGAAGUUGGAGUCGCUAGUAAUCGCAGAUCAGCAACGCUGCGGUGAAUACGUUCCCGGGCCUUGUACACACCACCCGUCAACUCCCCCAAGUUGGUAACACCCGAAGCCGGUGGCCUAACCC